rnacentral:rRNA from 1 species
CCUACGGGUGGCAGCAGUGGGGGAUAUUGCACAAUGGGGGGAACCCUGAUCCAGCGACGCCGCGUGAGUGAAGAAGUAUCUCGGAAUGUAAAGCUCUAUCAGCAGGGAAGAAGAAAUGACGGUAUCUGAGUAAGAAGCCCCGGCUAACUACGUGCCAGCAGCCGCGGUAAUACGUAGGGGGCAAGCGUUAUCCGGAAUUACUGGGUGUAAAGGGAGCGUAGACGGUGAUGUAAGGCUGGAGUGAAAGGCGGGGGCUCAACCUCGGAACUGCGCUUGAAACUAUGUGACUGGAGUGUAGGAGAGGUUAGCGGAAUUCCUAGUGUAGCGGUGAAAUGCGUAGAUAUUAGGAGGAACACCAGUGGCGAAGGCGGCUCACUGGACUAUAACUGACGUUGAGGCUCGAAAGCGUGGGGAGCAAACAGGAUUAGAUACCCGGGUAGUC